UAAAAUUUUAUAAAUUAAAAUUGUUUAUUAGUAAAGAUAUAAGACCAGCUUUGCUCUACCUAUCGUACAAGAUAAUUUCUUAUGUCUCUAAAAUAUGAGCACCACCGUAGCCAAAAUUCUCUCAAGGCAAUGGGAGAUUAUAGAACACAGGGAAAUACAUCUGCAUCUUAUGAACGGUUCAGGAUAUUGCACUAGGAGGCAACAGAUUAAUUAUCUGCUCAAUUACUCCUCCUACUGUCAGGAGGCGAUGAUGUACGAAGCAUCAGAAAGGCAACUGGUGGCGAGCUUUCCUCUAGUUCGCUAACACGCUGGAGAGUGACUUGUUGAUGAAUUCUGUGUCAUCAAGCACCUGAAUAGAGGAGAUGUCAGAGUAAAGUUGUAAUUUACUCUAAAUUUAUUUGGUAUAAUAAUUAUAGAACCUGGAUUUGUGAAGCACUGAGGCAAAAUAGUAACUAACACUCAUGUAUUAUGCAUUUGGAGCGAGGCAAAAAUAGUAACUUCGAAUGAUUUUUGCGAUGGUUGUGGUGGGGAUAUUGAUGAUUCCAUUUUGGGUCAAUUCUUGAAAUAUUCAAUCAUGUAAGGCUGCUACUUACUACUAAGACCUCCUGUUAUUUCUUUAUCAUUAUCUAAUCAUAUGAAUCGUAAGAGCAGUAUGAAAUUCUUUAUAAAUUUACAAACCUGAGGCAAAUAAGUAAAGAAAAGUGUUGACUGGUGUUCGGUGUCACUGUGUUGGAUAUUUGUUGAUCAUUGUAAUGUUUCAACCUCAUACAAUGAAGUGUAAAUUCAUGAAUGUCUAUCAGUUUGGACAAUUUUUCAGCUUAAAAGCAAACAUUGUACAGCUUAUUUGGCUUUUAAAAUCAGAAAAAUAAUAAGGUAUCAAACAGUUUUCUAAGUUAUAGGAAUUUAAACUCCAUGAGCUUAAAGCAGAAAAUUAUUUAACCAAUCCAAACGGACAACUUCUGAGGACGCCAUCCUCACUGGACAUAGAACAUGCUAAUGACAGUUGAAACCAAGAUGAUCUGGUCUAGUAGGCAUGAUAAUCAACAGUUUUUCCUUCAAAAGCGGAUCCAGAAUAUUUUGGAAAACAUGUUCAGGUUAAUAAAAUAAAUAAAAUGGUCUUAUAGAUUAUUAGGUUCUGAUAUACCACGGUGCAACAUUCUUGCUCCAAAAGAUUGUUUCUGAGUUGAACAAUUGCACCUUAGAACAGAAUGUACAAAACAAGAAAAUCUUUGAACAUCUUCUAACUGGUAAAUUAGUAGAUGAUACUUUAAGCUGAAGGCACACUAUAACAGAGAAAUCACUCACCUGAAGACUGUAGUAGAUCCAUGGACGAACCCACUGUUUAUAUGCACAAGACUGGCAACACAGGAAAUGAACACAAUGCUGCAGAUAUUGAAGCUUCUAAUAAAGGAUGGGCAAGCUGGCAUCUGUAAUUACAUGGAUUCUAAGCUGGCCCGAAAUGGCUUUUGAGUAUUCUUCAGCAUUAUCCAUAAUUUUUUGGGGAAAAAAAGGAAACAUGUAAAAAAAAAAAAA
rnacentral:lncRNA from 1 species